AACACGUAGGUAACCUGCCCAUGUGCCCGGGAUAACUUCUGGAAACGGAUGCUAAAACCGGAUAGGUAGCAGGCAAGCAUUUGACUGCUAUUAAAGUGGCUAAGGCCAUGAACAUGGAUGGACCUGCGGUGCAUUAGCUAGUUGGUGAGGUAACGGCCCACCAAGGCGACGAUGCAUAGCCGGCCUGAGAGGGCGGACGGCCACAUUGGGAUUGAGACACGGCCCAAACUCCUACGGGAGGCAGCAUG
rnacentral:rRNA from 1 species